AGAGCAUCAAUGAGGAAUACCAAAUCGUUAUCCUUGCACUAUGAUUCUCCCGUGAAGAAAAUUUUGGGGACCAACAAUCUGAGUUGCUC
rfam:Ipomoea nil DNA, scaffold: scaffold2826, cultivar: Tokyo-kokei standard.